rnacentral:rRNA from 1 species
AGUUUGAUCAUGGCUCAGAUUGAACGCGGGCGGCAUGCCUUACACAUGCAAGUCGAACGGCAGCGGGCCUUCGGGUGCCGGCGAGUGGCGAACGGGUGAGUAAUGCAUCGGAACGUGCCAUUGAGUGGGGGAUAACGUAGCGAAAGUUACGCUAAUACCGCAUAUUCUGUGAGCAGGAAAGCAGGGGACCGCAAGGCCUUGCGCUCUUUGAGCGGCCGAUGUCAGAUUAGCUAGUUGGUGAGGUAAAGGCUUACCAAGGCGACGAUCUGUAGCGGGUCUGAGAGGAUGAUCCGCCACACUGGAACUGAGACACGGUCCAGACUCCUACGGGAGGCAGCAGUGGGGAAUUUUGGACAAUGGGCGCAAGCCUGAUCCAGCCAUGCCGCGUGAGUGAAGAAGGCCUUCGGGUUGUAAAGCUCUUUCGGCCGGGAAGAAAUCGCAUGGGUUAAUACCCUGUGUGGAUGACGGUACCGGAAUAAGAAGCACCGGCUAACUACGUG